rnacentral:tRNA from 1 species
GAGGGUAUAGCUCAGUGGUAGAGGGCUUGCUUACCAUGCGUGAGGUCCUGGGUUCAAUUCCCAGUACUUCUG